rnacentral:lncRNA from 1 species
UGAGCAAGUGCAUGUGUGGGAACCCUCCUGCCUGCUGGGCGCUCAGCUAGGAGUCCCAGAAUAUCAGACACAAUUAUAUUCAAAUACCACAAAAGAUGUGAGAAUUCAAACUGAGCCAUAGCUCCAUCUCCUGGAAGUGUAUAUCAGCAGCAACAAGAGUAAAGACCCAGAGGCAUGAGAAACACUUCCUCACUGAAGCACUCACGUUCUGACUGUGUGCAAAAGACCUUUUGUGUCUCACUCACUGAGGGAGAUUGUUCUUCAGUCAAUCAAUGAGAAGAACAGACGUCUUAGAAAACCUUCAGUACCUGGGGGAAAUGACUGAGCUCACACACAAGGGAAAGUCAGCCCGUGUUCAAGAUAAGCCCAUCUCAGGAAGGCAGGUACCAUGCUCCUGAGACUACUCUACCCCCAGAUAAAAAAGCCCUUAUUGAUAAGCCAAAAUCACAGAUUAUUUUAUUAAGCUCAUAUUUUAAAAGAAUGCAAAGCUUCC